UAAUGUUUGUUUCAGUCUGUUUCAGAAUCUAAUAUUUGUGUUACCAAAUUAUUCUUAUCUUCCCAUUUCAACUGGGAGCCAACAAAGCAUAUCAAAAUUGUAUAAUUGAUGGCUUCAAUUUUGAAAUCUGUGGAGCUUAUUCUUGGGUUUUUAGUUUGAAGUGCUUGGUCUAGUCUAUUUCACACAAGAAGCAUCUAAGUUUGUACACAUUUGAGAAAUCAAUUUGUCUCUUUAGGAAGUGUCUUAGAGUUUGCCUUACACUUAAGCAAGGCAUAGCCAUAGCCCUUUUAACAUCUGAUAUCUUAUGUUAAAAAUAAAAAAUUAUUGAAUAUUUUGUUCUAUUUUCUUUUGUUGUGAUUUUUUUUUCCUCUACUUUUUUUAGUAUAAGAAAACUAAAUUAGGCCGAAUCAUAUUUCUUUUGUAGUUCCAACAAUAAGUUGAUUAUUAAUUUCCAUUCUACAAAUCAUUUCUAAUCAGUUUCACUAACCAUCUAGGAGGACAAAACAGGCAAGACAAACUCUGAAAGCCAGUUACUUCGAUUUUUUUGUGGACUAGAAGCUCUGUCGGAGUGGCUGGGUAACCUUUCAUCUCUUCAUUUUUUGGAACUUUAUAGAUGCAAGACUCUGAUGAAUCUUCCCACCCUGGAAGCAAUGCAACGCCUCACCAAUUUACAAUCUUUGAAAAUAUAUAAUUGUCUCCUUCUAAAGGAAAGAUGUGCAAGGGAAAACGGCCAAGAAUGGCACAAGAUUGCCCAUAUUCCAUCCAUUGCCAUCGGGUAGAUUUAAAGGUCAAGUGUAAUGUUUUCCUCUGCAAAUGACUAAUCUUCUUCUUCAAGAUGAAGCAUAAAAAAGUUUACUGCCAAUUAUGAUCUUCUACAAGGAGUUCCGGUUUUCCUUCAUGAGUAAGUGCUGGAUUUACUGCCUGCCAGUAGUACAAUCAAUUAGUGCAGGCCAUUACUAAUCGAUGUAGGGAGAAGAGGUAAUCAUUGGUGCACAUGAUUUUGCAGUGUCAGAGAAAUGUUAUGCAAACUGUGUAGAUUGUUAGUCAUUUCAGUUAUUUGUUUGUAAUUUUCAAGCUUAAUAAUUCAACUUCAUCAGUUGAAGAUUCUCGUCAUGUGAAAAACUAAAUAAUUUCUAUAAUCAACCGGUCUUCAAAAUUCUUUCCUACUUAGCUUUGAGUCAAAUAUUGAUUUUCUAUACCUAACAGGGAAAAAAAAAACAGUUAGAAAGGCAUGCCAGUGCUUUACGUGUUGCAUCGCAUCCAUCUUCAUGAUGCAAAUGUUGGUUUUAUGUUGUUAUUAACAAAGACAUGAAUUGAAUGAGCUAAUUUUCAGAAAAUGGAAAGAGAAAAAUGACUUCCUAAUUAUAUUAGUCAACUUUGUUUUCAGAACAUGAGAAUUAUUAUGUUUAUCUGCAACCAAUUGAAAAGGCCAAUUUUCAAUGUCAAUCAAAAUUUAAUUUUAUGGAUUUUGUAUUCCUCAUAAAGAAUGAUCUAUAGGUUUGAUUAGAAUGUUUCUGAAAUUUGAGGAUUUUGUAUCCAUCCUAAAAAAUGAUCUAUAGGUUUGAUUAGAAUGUUCCUGAAAUUUGAGGAUUUUGUAUCCCUCCUAAAAAAUCAUCGAUGGGAUUUGAUGAAAUGACGUGUUUCAAUUUUGAACCAACGCUUUUAUGAUGUUCCAAUUUCAAAUAAUCUCAUUUUAGUUGCUGAAGCUAAAUGAUCCAAAACUCAUAAUGACAUGGUGCCCUAACUAUGGGUUCUUGAGAGCAUUUCUUCAGAUGACAUGUCCUUUUUUUUUAUAGAUUGGAGAUGAUGACAUGUCCUUAAACACGGGUUUCCAUGCUAUGUUGUAUAUCACUAAUUCUAAAAGCCUAGUGCUUCAUGCUACCUAGAGUAUGCAAAAGUCACCUGAGUUGAGUUGAGAUUUCCAAUUAUAAGAUUUUGGUCAAUCAUAUUGAUUUGUUGCAUGUGCAGCAGAGGUAGUUUCAGCAAGAGGCAAUUAAUCUAACGAUGAAGUUGCAAUAACAUUCCACUUGGAGGAUUGGAUCAUGUAUGUAGUUCUAGUUUGGAGUUCAAAUCCUAUGAUUUAGUUCAAUUCAAUUUUAAUUUUGUCUGUUAAUGCCUGCCCUUUUUCUGUAUAUUGGCUAUAUAUAUCAGUUUCUUUGUUUUGAGACACUUCAAUAUAUGGUUUGUUACAUGGAGCAUCUAACAAAUAACAUGUAGCAUUCUGUUUCCUUUUCUUUUCUUUUUUUUUUAAUUAUCUUCAAAUCAAGUUUGGUUCAUGUACAGAGUUAAAUAACCCAUCUGGAAACGUGUAUUCAUGAACAGAUUAUUUUGCAUGUGAAGCCAAAAGACUAAUUUUGUCUAUAGUUUUGGGUCACAAAGAUCAAGUGCAACACAAGAUUUGUAGGCGGUAUUCUCCCUCUAUCCCUUAUUGAUUAAGUAUGACAGUCUUAUAAUUAGCAAGCGCUACUCUUUCUUUAAUGAAGAAUUGGCACAAUCACUAUCUGAUAUUUGAAUUGAAUAAAGAUAGCUUGCUGGAAAUAGGUGCUUGAGCUGGAACUCUCACAUCAGCUGGAUCAGCUUACGCUAUUGGAAAGGCCAAGUGCUUCCGAGUUGAAAAAGGAAAGCUAGCAAAGCUAAAACAAACAUACAAACAUGACAAAAAUCAAGGGCGGCUCAAGAUUUGCAGGUGAUAUUCCACCACUGC